UACGUAGGAGACGAGCGUUGUCCGGAGUUACUGGGCGUAAAGGGUGCGCAGGCGGCCUCGCGCGUCGCGAGUGAAAUCUCCCGGCUCAACUGGGAGGGUGGUCGCGAGACGGCGGGGCUUGAGGCUCGGUGAGGGGCGUGGAAUUCCGGGUGGAGCGGUGAAAUGCGUAGAGAUCCGGAGGAACACCGACGGCGUAGGCAGCGCCCUAGACGAGACCUGACGCUCAGG
rnacentral:rRNA from 1 species